AACUGAUUUCCUGUUAAUUCUGCAGAAGAAGAGUGCGGCGACGCCAGCAGAGUACAAGAAGACAGAUGAACCUCAGCCCGAUGUGAAGGAGGAGGAAGAAGAGGAGGAAGAGAAGGAGGAGAAGGAAGAGAAAGCUGAAGAGGCAGAGGAGAGCAGUCCAGCUGCAGAGGAGAAGAGCGACAAAGAGGAAAGUCCGGCAGAGGAAGAGGAGGCAGAGAAUGAUGAAGAUCAGGAGGCCACAGGAGAUGAGAAGUUGGAGGAGGAUGUUCUGCGGAGAUCUCCCAGGAACAAGAAGGUCAGAAAAGACUGAAAUCUCUGAAUCCAAAGCCCUGACCUCGACUCCUCCCCCCCACCGUCUCCCCCUAAAACUCCCAUCCCCCCUCCUCCGCUCCGAGGUGAUGAAGCCUGAAUGGAUCCCGAGGAAGCAGUGAAGCCGACCGGAAACUAAUCAAGAAAUGGACGCCUGAUGAUGAUUCCAGUGUGAGCAGGACUGAGUUAGUUUGAUUAAAGGAGAUUAACUAAGAUUAACGAAAACCUGCAUCAUUCCUUAACACCUGAGCAGACUCAAACCCACGACGCCAGCGUCUCCUCUUCCCAUCUGCUGAGCUGCCGCCCGCCGCCUCCAAUGAGCUGGCAAAAGCCCCGCCCUCCCAACAGCCUGUUAAAACCCUGUUGACAGUUUGCUGAGCAGUCCUCUUAGUUAACGUAGGUAACUGACUCUAAUUAAACAGUGAAGUCAAACCUCAGGUCUGACGUCAACCUGUUUGGUCUAAUAACGAAGCUGUUAGCGUUAGGAUUAACUAACCCACUGAAAAUCAACCAGUCAGAAUAUAACGACAGGAAGUCUGAACCAAAACACCUGAUCAAUAAUCUACAGUUAACUGAUUAGUCUGCUGACAGGCAGAUAAAAUGCCAAUGUAUCAGGGUGCUAAUCAGGCUAACAGGUUAACAGUUAGCCAACAACCAGAAGUCUCUGCACGUUAGCCUUCCAGCUAAUUAGCCACAGAACUUGUCUUUUAACUUUCUAACCACUGUCCAGCAGCUUCUUAGCAACACACGUUAUCAGCUAACGUUCAGAAUUUGAACCACCCAGCAGUCAGGGCUGUCAACACAUGAUCAGGACAGGAGCCUGAAAGGUCUCGCUAAUUAGCCCAUGAGCUACUCAUUAGUGACAGUUUAUCGUAGCUGACCAUCAUCCCUCUAAUCAGCUGAUCAGGCUGCUAACAAGUCCACAGAUAACGUUAAUAACUGCAACUUCUUCUUCUUCUUCUUCCAAGACUCUGGAAAUUAGCCUGUUAGCAUCCCACUCAUUACUUUUCAAUCAGCUGCAGCAGCAGCAUGCUAAUGGUUCCUGAAAUGAAAUGAGUACACUCCAGCUGACAUGAACAGUUUUUUCUUCUCGUCAUGUUAUUGUCUCAGACGUUCGUGGAUGUUUUGUCCCCUCAGUGUUUUUCGACGUGUCUUUGUCCUGGUGGCAGCGGAGAAGGUCAGAGGUCGGGCACUUGUGUUGUGAUCAGGACUGAUGUCAGUUACAGGUGUUUGGUGUCGUGUCGCCUGGAGUCACAGUCACAGAUCGAUCUCCUCAGAUGCGCUGCAUCGUUUUCAGUCAAAACCGUUGAGUCAGCAUAUGUCCUACCGGCGGCAGCAGAUGACCCGCAACUCCAUCUUUUUUCCCCCAUUUUAAUUUGAGUCCAAACAGUGACCGCAGAUGUUUCACUACCUGGAUUGAAAACCAACAUUCAGACGCAUGGUGUCGAUGUGACGAGGAAAAACUGAAUCUGUUUCACAUCAGCAUGUGCGAUGAAGAAGAUCCAACAGACAGGUCUGCAGUAAAACUACAGUUUGGCAAACUGGUGUCGGCAGAUGGACAAACUCCCAGUCCCUCUUUCAUCAACCCCAAAUGAAAAGAAAAAGGCACUAAAGGGGAAAAACUCCAGCGCUUAACCUCUCACCCGUCCACCUGCUGCACGACAACAUGUCCCCAAACCUCCGCUGGUUUUAGCCCCAUGUUAAAGAGACGGCACUUGAGCGCGAAAUUCAUUCUUAACCAUCAAAAAUUCAAGACAAAAUAUCUGAGCUAAAACUCCUGUCAGUCACAUCCCCGUCUGUCUGUUGUCACGACUUUGAGCCGUCUCCAUUCAGCUUCAUUACUCUGCGGAUGAAGACGUGAGAUGAAGCAAAAUGUUGAGUUGAGACAAAACUGAAUCUCUCAGUUGAGGAUCAUUUUUUGUUUCUUCUAACAAACUAUCUUCUGCUGUUAAAUGUGUGUUUCAGUGGUUUUUUAAAAUAACCUGAACCUUAAGAUGUUCCAGCUCUUACUCAAACCAUCGUAAACGUUUUCAGACUUUAUCUAAAGUAAAUGGCAGAUUCAUCGACAGUGAAAAUACUCAUGAGUAGCACCGCUUUGCUAUUUCAACCAGAACCUUUUAAGAUUCUACCUAUCAUCUGCUGCUGCCGCCCCCUGCUGGACGCUGUAGACACAAUCUCGACGUCUCGCUGAGAAAAGGCUUCUAGUUUUAUGCUCAGUAAAGCAACUACAUUAUUUAACUCUUAAAAAAAACUGCUGACUACAACAUAAUGGUAAAUACUGAAUGGUUGUGUUGACCUCUUGACCUUUCCUCUGGCGCCACCAUCGGGACAAAUCUAUUCAUUUUCAGGGCAUAAAAAACACUAAUUAUUCCAUGAACGUUGUGUGUGAAGCUGCAGCAGGAGCUCAGACUCCUGAACUGUGGUCUUGUUUGUUCAUUGUGAAACUGAAGGUUUGUGAUGAAGUAAAAAGCAGAGGAGCACAUGAGAUCACAUGAGUGUGACUGAGCCAGAACGACACGGCGUCGGUUUGCAGACUUUUAAAUCUUUAAAAUAUUGAACCAGUUAGUGUGUGGAAAAGAAAACUACGUCUCAUGACUGUUGAUGUGUCCGUCUCGUCAGUUACACUCGACUAAACGUCACAUCGGGUCUUCCGUCUAUUUCCUGUUGGAUUGAAACAUUUGAUUGGUUAAAGACUAGUCUGGAGUUACUUUUAAACGUCUGAGGUGUUUGUGUUUCUGGUUGUUGCUUAAUUCGUGUUUGGGGCCUUGAGGUGACCCGGAGUUCCCUGCGCUAUGUCCAGGUGACCUUCAUUUGAUCUUCCUCUUCCUCCGUGGGUCAACGCGCUGCAGUGGUUUACGUUUUCGCUGUGAACUGUUGAUUUCCCUCUUUAUUUUUCUCCCUGUGCUGUGAAUGGUUUUAAGAUGAAUCUGACGCAGCGUUACAUUCCCAUCAUGUAUGUUUCAGCCACUAUUCAUCGUCUGCCACCCUCCUCUUCUUCCUGAUGUGUCCGACUCUUAGUUUUCUCUGGUCGUGUCCAGCUGAGGCUGCCUAUAGCUAACAGACUGUAUAGACUGAACACUGUAUCUGCUGGUGAGACUUAACGUGACUCUGUAACUAUUAACUUUUUAUUGUUUUGUUGACUUUGUGUUUAAACUAUUUGGUCGGCCCAGCGUGUUUCUGAUGAGCACCCUGUGCCGCCGCAGCACAGGAAGGUCAAGCCUGGAGUAGAAAUGCUGUGAUGACGGAGCCUGGUGCGUGUGUGGACGUGAAGUCAACAUUUGUUUUGAUGAAUAAAAAGGCCAAAAUGGAAACUAAAUGAAAA